rnacentral:rRNA from 1 species
UACGUAGGGGGCAAGCGUUAUCCGGAUUUACUGGGUGUAAAGGGAGCGUAGACGGAAUUGCAAGUCUGAUGUGAAAAUCCGGGGCCCAACCCCGGAACUGCAUUGGAAACUGUAUUUCUAGAGUGUCGGAGAGGCAAGUGGAAUUCCUGGUGUAGCGGUGAAAUGCGUAGAUAUUAGGAGGAACACCAGUGGCGAAGGCGGCCUACUGGACGGUGACUGACGCUGAGGCUCGAAAGCGUGGGGAGCAAACAGG